rnacentral:lncRNA from 1 species
GAAGAGUCAAUGCCUUCUGAGAUGCAUCUUAGAGUUUUCCAUGCUCUUCCUUCUAGCAGCAGGUGGCACUGGGCCAAAAUAGUAUGUAAAACAUAAUGGAGGGCCAGGGAGAUGUCCCAGUCGGUAAAGCACGAGAACCUGAGUUAGGAUCCCCAGCAUCAAGGCCACACAUAGCAGUGUGCUCUUGUAUUCCCAGCCCGUGAGAGGAAGACCAAAAGGACCCCUGGGGCUCACUGACCAGCCAGGCCAGCUGAGUUAGUAAGCUUCAAUUCAGUGAGAAAACCUGUCUCAUAAAAUUAGGUGGAGAGCAAUGUAGGUGGCAUCUGAGUUGACCUCUGACCUUCAUAUGCACAGGCACAUACAUAUACAUGCACACACAUCCCCAUACACAUAAAGGAACAUUCAUAUACAAAAAAUAUGCAUGUUUUUCUUCUCAGAAUAACUAUGUAUAAGAUCAUGAGCAGGGCUCUAGUGCCUCAUUGGCAGUGUGUUUGACACCAUGGGGAGUCGCAGCUUCUGUAUCAUCAUCGGCCUGUAUCAAUUUCCCAGAUGGCCACGCUCACCCUUCAUUGAUACUCUCUUCAUGUGUCUGUCCUCUCCACGAUUUUGGAUGAUGUCAUCACAAUGAUCUCCUGGUCAUAUCACAGUCCACUCGUCACAUUCCUGUUGUCUGUCUUAAUGACACAUGUCACUGCUUAAGUUUCCUGAUCCAUCACAAGGUCUACAUCUCUUUUCUUUGGAAUGUGUAAGGGCAGCGGAUGCAGGGACCCUACCCACCUCACUGUGGCUCAUCAGACAGUCAGAACAUUCCAGUUGGUUAAGUUGGCUCCCCAAACUGUUAUCUUUGCAUCCUAUAGUAGCAAAAUAUAGAUCUAACCUAACCUAUGCUCAGGUUUAAACAGGCUGCCAGUUCUAGUCAGCAGCACUAGAGAAGCCCUCUUAAGUCCAUUAGUCACUAACCUUGAAGGAUGGAAUGGAAAAGGAGUUUCCCAGAAGUUUCCAGACUUUAACUACAAGGUCACCUUUUGGAGAUGUGUAGUAUUGCGGCAGGGAAGGCACAUUAAUGUCGAAUAGGGUCAUUAGUGUGUUCUUCCUUCAGAUGUGGUGGACGGAUCUUAGCUGCGUGAUUGAAGAAAAUGGGUGUUGCUGUAGAACAGCAUGCCAUGCAGUGAAUGGCAGAGCUCUAAGCUUACAGCCGCCUUGGAGGACAAUUGAAUAGCAUCACGAAUCCAAUGUACCGCCUUUUCAACCAGCAGUGCCACAUAUAGGAACUUUUCUUAUGUACAGAAACUUUUAUUAAAGUAACGUUUGUAAUAACAAAAGGUUAGAAACUACCAUUAAUUCAGAACAGAGGUGAAAAAAUAUCAUGGCCCAUAUCUACAAUGGGGCAUUUUGCAGACACUUAAAAGAAUAGACCUGCUCUGUGUAUUGCCAAGGAACGUUCAAGGGAUCUUGGAGCCACAUGGUUAAGUGGGGGAAGAAAACAUGCAUGAACAUGCAUGAAGUGCUAGUGUUUGGAAUAGAGAUAAAUACAUGUAAAUGUGUGGAUGCAUAUGUGUGUGCGCGCAUAUACUCACACAUAUGCUUGUGAUACGUCUGCUUGCCUGUUCCCAGACUGUCUCUGAGAAGUGACACAGCAGCCUGGCAGCCUCAGUUGCCGCCUAGAAGAAGGUGGAAAUGACUUUUCACCGUUUGCCUUUUGUACUCUGGAAUUUUGUACCGUGUACAUGCAUUAUCUACUCAAAUAAAUAGUUUUUGAAGUU